GACGAACGCUGGCGGCGUGCUUAACACAUGCAAGUCGAACGGACAGGCCCUGCUUGCGGGGUACUCGAGUUGCGAACGGGUGAGUAACUCGUGGGUGAUCUGCCCUGCUCUUCGGGAUAAGUCUGUGAAACUGGGCCUAAUUCCGGCUAGGUGCCAUUUUUAGCCUGAUGGUUCGAAAGUUUUUUCGGUUUAUGCUGAGAUGGCGGCCUAUCUGCUUGUUGGAGGGGUAAUGGCCUACCAAGGCGGCGGCGGGUAGCCAGCCUGAGUGGGUGGACGGCCACAUUGGGACUGAGAGACGGCCCAGGCACCUACGGGAGGCAGCAGUGGGGAAUAUUGCACAAUGGGCGCAAGCCGGAUGCAGCGACGCCGCGUGGGGGAUGACGGCCUUCGGGUUGUAAACUCCUUUCGCAAGGGACGAAGCUUUUUGUGACGGUACCUAGAUAAGAAGCACCGGCUAACUACGUG
rnacentral:rRNA from 1 species